GGCUUUAUUUCACCAGUGCUUGUUUACCUACGUCUCCUGCCUCCAUUAACGACUCUCACUUUGUGGUUCUGCAGCCAGGAGCAGCAGUUUCAGGUCCAGGACAGGAUUAACAGUUUUAAUCUCCUGGUGUUCCUAGAGAAUUCCAAAGGAAGGCGCUGGGUGUAUCUGGGGGACGUCUUCCCCACAGGGCCAUCCAGGGAACCCAGCCUUCGUGGGAUCCAGGCUUUGGCAGAGAGGACCACCACGAUUUCAGGGUUGGAGGAGAAAGAUUUCUCUCCACAGGAGGACAUGACUUCCACGUAUCAUGGACAUCGGGCUUCCCAGGCGGCUCUGUGGUAAAGAAUCUGCCUGCCAGUGCAGGAAGUGCAGGAGACACAGGUUUGAUCCUGGGAUUGGGAAGAUCCCCUGGAGGAGGAAAUGAAAACCCAAUCCUGUAUUCGUGCCUGGAAAAUCCCAUGGAGAGGGGAGCCUGGCGGGCUACACGGGGUCGCAGAGUCGGACACGACUGAGCACCUGAACAACAGGAGCGCAGCCCCUCCCAGGGAGCACUGUUGGAGAGAAGACGGCAAGGCAUCGCCUUCCGGGGAGGGCAGCCCGAAGGGGAGAAGAGAAUGGGGAGAGGAGGUGUCCCUGGGGAGACGUCCUUCCCUCUCAGGAAAAGCAGCUUCACCCUCCCCUCCCCACAGAAGUGAAUGCUGGAGUUACGCUGGAGAUUUACCACACUGCAGCUUACUUCAGUUAAGUGAGAGACCUUGAAUAUUUGACUGCCUCGAACUUCAAUCUGUAUUAUUUUGAAAUAUUUCACUAAACAAAGAGCCUAUCUUCAAAUCACUCAGACCCUUUCUUGGAAAUCAUGUGAAAAACAUUUAAAUGAAUUUGGAUCAAUUAGUCAUUAUCUUCCCCAUCUCUGAGUCAGAUGCCUGAUCCUAACUUAAUUUUAUAGCCAAGAGCACAUGAACCAAGCUGAACGCCAAGCGGGCUUCGUGCUUUCUUUCGUUACCUGCUAAGAAGUGACAGGCUGAUCACACAAGCAGGCGAUAGCUUGGCCAUCCAUCCGAAAAGAGGACUCUGAUUCACGACUUGCAGCAACCAGCCCAGGAAACUGACCCUUUCUCUGAAGUAGCCAUCCCAGAAAGCCGGUUGCUGCCCGCUAUUGUUUUAGGAAGGCAGACCUCUGUCUCUAGAGACAGUUCAGAAAGUGAAACAUCCACGCCUGUAACAACUGGCCCCAAAUGAUUGGGAUGGGAUUAGUAACUGACAGCCUCCCUCACGCUUGCCCUGCAAAUCACGACCAACCAGAGAAAGCCAGCGAUGCACCUCAGCCAAUGACAUGGGUGCCCGGCCUGUAGUUGGCCCACCCUCGGCUUCCCCGGGGCCCCAGCCUCUGGGCGGGGUGCUCCGGAGCUGUCCCUCUGCCCACCACAAAGCUCCCCAGUCCUCUGCCUGCCCCGAGUCUCCACCAAACACUGGUGGUGGUGGCUGACUCUCUGGCUCAAGCCAGACUUUGCUUUUUCACUUGGGUGCCUUUGUUUAUUUCCACAGGAGGAAGUUCUCUGAGGAAACUGGGGGACACAUUUGCUAAAAAUAGCAACAUUUUGGGGGCUCAUCUAAGAGGAGAAUUGAUGGGUCAGGAAAUAGCUGCAAUGAAAUGACUCCCCUUCGUGUGACGUUUAACUUUGUGCCAACUUGACUAGGCUGCGGUGUCCCCACAUAUUUGAUCAGACAUUAUUUUGGGUGUUUCUGUGAGAGUGUUUUCGGUGAGCUUAACAUUUAAGCCAGCAGACUGAGUAAAGCAGAUUGCACUCCCUUAAUGUGGGUGGGCCUUAUCCAAUCAGUUGAAGACACUAAUAGGAGGAAAAAAUGGAUGAGCCUCUCCCCAAAAGAUGGAAUUUCUCUUGCUUGAUUGUUUGCAAACUGGAGCAUCAUUUUUGAAAUAGGGAAGAAUAAAUCUAAAUUCAUAUUUGAUCUGUUUCUUUUA
rnacentral:lncRNA from 1 species